CAUUUACCAUAUCCUGGUAUCCUGGAAUUAUCCCGCAAGAAAGCAUGUGUCAGUAUUUUUUUACAUUCCUUAUCUUAUUCUUAUGUUAGGUUAUUAUUACCUAACACGACAAUUAAUUAAACAAAUUAUCUUGCCCCAAACUAGGCAUAGCCUGUACUAUGGGUGUGAGACAACGAUAUAUUUAAUAAUAUAUUUAUUUAGUAAUACGAUAUUCUUACUUAAACAUAUAAACAUACAAAAAAAACAUAAACAAAUCAUAUAAAUAUUUACACCUAAGUACCGGGAUUCGAACUGGCACCUCUAGCACUAACCACUCGGCUAUUGCCGAUGUAUUUUUUGUUUAUUAUCUUUUUCUGUUUAGUUUCAUGCUUUCUGCUGUGUUAUUAAGAUAAGGAGCUAAAAAUAACCAAUUACCUGAUUUAAAUGCCCACAAAAUACAUUUACCUUCUUGCAAUACAAGGUGAAUAUUCCAAGUUAAGAGAGUUAUGAAUUAACGAGAUUGCUUUAAUAUUGUACUUUAAUUUAAUAUACUAUAAUUUCAAACAAGCGACCUGUAGAUAUUUUUGGAGAGACAGUAGCACAAUUUAAGAGAAAACCUGACACUGAUUAUUAAAUUUUAGUGACCUAAUUUAUAAUAAAAAACGCAUUGACAAAAUAUCUUGUAUUUUAGUGAUUAUAUUGAAGUGACUGUAUUGUAGCUUAUAAUUAUUUAUGCAAUUUAUUUAUCUAUUUAUAUUGUUUUGACAUGUUAGCGUUAUAGGACUUCAAUAUGUUUAUGUGCAUGAUGUGUUCACCUGUAAUUGCAGGAACACGAUUUUUGAACUUUAUGUUACAAUCUUAUGAAUUGUCAUGUGUAUUCUGUAUUGGUGGACCUUGAAUAAAUAAAUAAAUUGUAAAAAAGUUUGUUCAGCCGUGUAAGUAUUUAAAAUGUUUUCAUCUGUUAUCAGGUUAUACCUAUUUGUAGUGCCAAACUGAUAAAUCAUAAGAGGGGAAAUUUUACAGAGUUCUAACCAGAGUCCGUUCACUUUUGGCUUUACCUCCUUUCUUAUGGCAUAUUUCUUUAAGGAAUUUUUGUUUAUUUGUUUGGGUAUCUUACCUAUGUUAGAAUUGUCUAAACCGAUUUGAAUAAAAAUUUGCUCUCCGUUAUUAACAUUGAAAUAAAAACGCCGAAAUCUAUACGGUCAAAGACGCGGGCCAUCCCUAAUAAAAAAAUAAAGUGGUCAUUGAUUACUGUGAGGAAAGAUAGACUAAUGGGAUGCCGUUGUAUGUAGUAGUAGAUCCAAUUGGCUCGCUCUCGUAUGGUAGCCGACUCAACGAAUUGGAAUAGAGCAUACAGAAGUGUGCUGCAGCGAUGUGUGCGUAAUAAAUAAAUUAUGCAGCAUGCACAUCGACUUGCAAUGUGUGAGUGAGAAGAGCGGCCCAAGCAUUAUGCGCAUUAUCUAUAUAUGGUAGUUGUGUUCAGAUCGCAUUAAGUAGGUACUUUAAUUUACACUUGUUGAUACCCGCGUUCACACAUGACUGAGCACUUAGUACUUAUAAGAAUCAAUGUUUCUUAAAAAUUUAAUAAUUAAAGAAGAUAUCGUCAUAAUUGUUUUUAAGUAAGGGCCAAGUGUCUAAGCAAUUCAACUAAGACUUAAUUUAAAUCUAUCCAGUACCUGGUUUUUCCGUGCGCAACUAUGCCAUAUAAUAUAGUGAUAUACUUACAUAGAAUAGUAUUUCGCAAGUCUUGGGUAAUAAUUUCGAUCUAUUUUAUGAAAUAUCGCUUCGAGCCUUUAGUUAUUUAGAUUCCACCAUAAAUAACUACUGAAUUAUAUAACUUAUAUUAAUAACUAUAAAUAUUAUAAAUAUUAAUAACUUAAUAAUUUAUUAAUUUAGUUUGAUUUUAUUUAUUGUAUUUCCAGAUAGAUUAGAAGUUUGAAGCGGGAAGCGAACCCUCAAGCCAAGCGGACGUCUUGCCGGCUUGCUUGGAUAUGUUUUUGCGAGUAGUGUGAAGGAACGGGCGCUACAUAUCGUGCCUACUGCCUCAAUCCAAAAUCGGGGACUAUUUUUUUGUUGCAGUGAUGUUGCUGCCACGGCUCGAUCCUAGCUUAAUGUGAACAAGUUGACAUAAUACUCAUUCUACCAACGAAGAACUUGGCAGCACGCAGGGAAAUAAGACAACGAAACUAUUAAACACUAACCGUGCCUAAUCUUUUACAAUAUUACCUAUAUUUUAAAUGUACCUACACUUUACAAAGAGAAAUCAUACAUUCUAUGUAUAUUUGAUACUUAGUAAGGUGGCUACUUCAGUUGUUGCUGGGGCUUCGCUUCUACUGCCGAAGACCACAAACGUCGCAAAUAAUAUGUCGGUCUCAGAGAGCCUUAGAGCCGCGCUUGCGACUAAGUAAUCUAAAUGUAUGUAUGGAAUGUAUAAAGUUCUGUCUACCCGCCUAAAUGUAAACCCAUGUGCUAGCACUUAGCAGUUAUAUCGACAAUCUGACUAGUCCAACUACCACAUGAAUAUGCUGCAAGUAUUCUUGGUACACUUCCUCGGACAGUUUGACCAGGUGUAAAUCAUGUUAAGUAUUGUAAAUAUAAUUAUAAGCAUUGUAUUGUGGUGAAUAAGUAAAUAAAUUAUGAUUAUUAUAAUUAUAAACAAUCUAUU